rnacentral:rRNA from 1 species
AACGAACGCUGGCGGCAUGCCUAACACAUGCAAGUCGAACGAGACCUUCGGGUCUAGUGGCGCACGGGUGCGUAACGCGUGGGAACCUGCCCUUAGGUUCGGAAUAACUCCCCGAAAGGGGUGCUAAUACCGGAUAAUGUCUUCGGACCAAAGAUUUAUCGCCUUUGGAUGGGCCCGCGUUGGAUUAGCUAGUUGGUAGGGUAAAAGCCUAGCAAGGCGACGAUCCAUAGCUGGUCUGAGAGGAAGAUCAGCCACACUGGGACUGAGACACGGCCCAGACUCCUACGGGAGGCAGCAGUGGGGAAUAUUGGACAAUGGGCGAAAGCCUGAUCCAGCAAUGCCGCGUGAGUGAUGAAGGCCGUAGGGUUGUAAAGCUCUUUUAGCCGGGAUGAUAAUGACAGUACCGGGAGAAUAAGCUCCGGCUAACUCCGUG